GCUGGGCAUGGUGUUGCAUGCCUGUAAUCCCAGCUACUUGGGAGGCUGAGACAGGAGAAUUGCUUGAACCCAGGAGGCAGAGGUUGCAGUCAGCUGAGAUCAUGCCACUGCACUCCAGCCUGGGCAAUAGAGUGAGAUUCUGUCUCAA
rnacentral:SRP_RNA from 1 species